GAACAGAGCCAGGCAUUCUUUCCAGCUGCGACGGUUGACGACCAGAGAACCGAUGAAAACCUGUGGCGACCCAAGGUGGCAGUGGCGAUCGCCGCACGUCAUCGUGGUGUGCGUGGCGGUGAAGACAUCGGGGUUCGGAGUCCGAAGAUCUGAGCGUCCAGGAAGAAGUUGCUGCGGCCGAGGUUGAAGAGGUUGCUGAAACAAAUUUAGCAGACCAAACAGAACCAGAAAGAAAAAUAAGUAUAUUAAGGCAAAAAGAAAUGGAUUAUAAAGAAAUGAGUCACCAAACAUACGUAGCCUGAAGUGGUUAUAGGGAACCAGGAUACAAAAUCGAGCAGCAGAAGAGCCAGAGAGACCAGCAAAAAGAAUGGCAAGAUGAAUGGAAAGACAAAACAGUUCAUUAUAGAAGAAAAUAAGCCCAAAGAAGUCAAUAUCUUCUAGAGAAACAAAGUAUGAUGGAGAGACUUGUCCUAGCAAAAAUUAGGAUUUAUGAUGAAGACACAGUUAUCAAGAUAACAUGGUACAGGAGCAGGGGUAAACAAUUUGAACAUUGGAGAGAACAAAGAUCCCAGGAACAGAUUUACUUAUCUGUCAUGGAAGAUCAGUGAUGAAAAGAAGUGCUAUUCCACAAGUGGAUCUGAAAAAAAAAUGUAAUUCAGAUUGGAAAAAAAAUGGGAUUUAUCCCUACCUCACACCAUAGAUAAUUGAUCCAGAUGGAUCAAACUUACACGUCAAGAACAAAAUUUUACAAGUUUUGAUAUAAAAUACAGGUAAAUAUUAUUUUGAUUGGGGGAGAGAUAAGACUAUCUUAAACAAAAAGUGUUAACUCAGAAAGAAUAUAUUGAUAAAUUUGGCUCAUAUAA